UCAAUAAGCGGAGGAAAAGAAACUAACAAGGAUUCCCCUAGUAACGGCGAGUGAAGAGGGAAGAGCCCAAGAUUGAAAGCUGGCGUCUUCGGCGUCCGCAUUGUAAUCUCAAGAAGUGUUUUCCGCUUCGGACCAUGCCUAAGUCCCUUGGAAAAGGGCAUCAUAGAGGGUGAUAAUCCCGUACAUGGCAUGGAGCGCCCGAGGCUUUGUGAUACGCUUUCUAAGAGUCGAGUUGUUUGGGAAUGCAGCUCAAAAUGGGUGGUAAAUGCCAUCUAAGGCUAAAUAUUGGGGAGAGACCGAUAGCGAACAAGUACAGUGAUGGAAAGAUGAAAAGAACUUUGAAAAGAGAGUUAAACAGUACGUGAAAUUGCCAAAAGGGAAGGGUAGGAGGUCAGAGAUGCGUCUUGGGAUUCAGCCUUGCAUUUUUGCUUGGUGUUUUUCCCAAGUUUGCAGGCCAACGUCGGUUUUGGGCACUGGAGAAGGGUGGAAGGAAUGUGGCACCUCUCGGGGUGUGUUAUAGCCUUCCACUGGAUACAGCGACCGAGACCGAGGACAGCAGCGUACUCGCAAGAGCGGGCCUUCGGGCACCUUUACGCUUAGGGCGUUGGCAUAAUGGCCCUCUACCACCCGUCUUGAAACA
rnacentral:rRNA from 1 species